UUGUUCAACCCAAAUCGCUUGAGAUUUGAUUUUGGAUUACAUGAAUACAAACCCCAAUCCAUACUUCAUCGAUAUUAGAUAAAGCAAAAUGGGCCAAAGUGUGAGCAGCCCUUUACCCUUUGUACUAACAUUGUAUAAUUUCCCCAUUAUGUUCGAGGAAAAUCGUGGAUCUUAAUGGCACUUACAAGAGUUUGACAAUCUGAUUCAAAAGCAACCUCAUCGAGUCCACGUGCUUUGAUGAUUUGAAUGAUGUUGAGGAUGGCAUGAGCUUCAACCAACGUGAUAUCUGGUGGCCCCAUCAUCUUCCAUGUUGCAGCCAAAAUCUCCUUCCCGUUGUUGUUUCUGAUCACCCAUCUCGAUCUCCACUCAUUAUUACUGGUAUGACUAGACAAUCCUUGUGAUAUUGGAGAAGUACAACUAGAUGAGUUUGAAUGUGGUGAUCUAUUGUUGAGCCAUAAGGUAAGAUUGUUAAACCUUAUGAGUAUUCCGGUUUGAAAUUCUUAUGAGACUUGGAGGUAGCCCUCCAAAUUUUGGGAGCUACCAUACAACAAAUUUUAUCUAGAUUGUCGCGUAUAUGUAUCUCGGAUUUUGUUGAGGUGAUCUAUCAGGACAUGACCAAUUUGAAUGUUCGCCCACUUGCGUAGUUGCAUAGUAUCAAGCCUCCAAACCAAGUACUUCAGAGUUAGAAUGAUACAAAAAAUGUGAAGAAGUAGAGUCUAAGCUCGUGCAUAACAUUGCAUUAUCUUGUGAUUAUUCCAUUGUAAUUAGUGUGUAUUGAAUGUGAUUAUAAUUUUUUCUAAAAUUUGAUGUUAAUUAUAAAGAGAUGUUGAUUUCUCUUUAAGGAUUUUGACGUUAUAAUGUGAUGUAAUUUCCUUGAAUAUUUUAAUAAAUUAGAAUGUAUUAAGAUAUAAUUUCUAUUUUAAUUAUUUGUGUGUUCUUCUUACUUAUAUUAUACUAUUAACAUGAUUUAUAAACUCACCCCUUUAGUUAUUUAUGUUUGAUUGGUUUGAUCAUACAUUUACGAAAUCACACUUAUUAUAAGUUAGUGAGCCUUGAAGUUGAAAUUUAGGAGAAGUUUCACUAAGAUAUCCGACGUCGUGAAUAUAAUUUAUAAGUUAUAUUUUACCUAUUUAAUUAGGAACCAUUUCUUUAUAUGAAAAUCUUGUUAGUACUAAUAAGUUCUUGAAAUUGAAUUAAAAAAUUAUAGUUAAAUUAAUUUUAUUGAGAUUGCAUUGUUUUGUUUAAAAAUUAAAUUUAAAGUUUUUCAUAUAUAUCUUAAAAGACGUGAUAUCUUAUAUUAUUUAAAACAAUUUUCAUUGAUACGCUGAAAAUUCUUAUAAAAAUAUAGGAUAAUUUAUUGUAUGUAUUACUUUGUGUUUAGAGUAUUACAUGAGUUAUAUCGUUAGUAUUGUAUCUAAUAGAUUCAUCACUUGUACGAUAAUUAUAACUUUAAGCAUAACAACCUUAAUAUAUGAUGAUUUAUUUGUUCACUAUAUAUCACACAUCAUUAUCAA